rfam:Pelodiscus sinensis unplaced genomic scaffold scaffold954, whole genome shotgun sequence.
UAGCUCAGUGGUUUGAGCAUUGGCCUACUAAACCAAAAGUUGUGAGUUCAAUCCUUGC